CCAGAAGGGGAAAAGCUGUUAUCAUAUGAUCCCCUAAAACAGACAUCAGACCGGCAGUGAAUCUUCAUCGUGUUUGAUAUAAUUGUAGAGCAGUGAAUUUUUCUCUCCUUACACUCUACUCUCUACAUUGCUCAUGUCUCAGUUAAUUGGCUCGAUUCUCUGUACAGAAUACUUUACAUCAGAGGAAUGUGUGUGUGUGUGUGUGUGCGUGUACAAGUGCAUUCUGAAGAGGAAAGGAGACCAAAAAUAGUUGAGAACAAAGUACUAUCUAAAUCAAAAUGCAAAUGUCACUCCUGUCUCUCCCUUUGUAUUUUCAGCAGCAGAGUUGUUUGCCAAAGAGUGACUAUCAAGGCCUUGACUAAUGUUCUAAGGAGGGCACAAUGUUCCACUCCCAAAACAAUGUAACCCAGUGGUUUUCAGCAAGGAAACUGCUAAAUUUCCCAAAGGAAUUCCUUACUGUUAGUAAGACUUCUGAAAAUUAACUAGUGAGAAUAAAUGCCACGAAAUCUAACAUUAGUAUUCUGAACUGAAUUUGCUUAUGCCAGACCUCUAAACAAUAAACUGUGUUCUGCUGUGUUGCUAUGCCCGUUCAUGAGGCAAGCCAUUUUAAAGUAAAGCAUCUUGGAGAUUCCAAAAGAGCAGAAUGGGGAAGGGGUGUACUGCUUUAGGCUAGGGGAAAACAGCAAAAAAAAAAAAAUAGUGGAUGAAGUAUAUUCUUAGGGGAGACUUGGAGAGCAAACUACAGGAAGUGCUGAGGAAGGAAGAAGGACACCGUGGAUCAUGGUGGAAGGCCCACGUGGACGCAAAGCAGCAAGCACAGACACAGCACAUGACCCCAGGAGCUGCAUCAGCUUUGGAGACUGUCGGACACAUUGCUGGGGAAAGCCAGACAUGAGCCUCCUUCAGCACCGGACACAGCCUAGGAUCCUGCUGGGCUCAGGACCUCCCCUCCCAUCUCUAGUCCCACGAGGAAUGUUUGUUCCCGUUCUCUGCUGGGGGAGUUU